UACAGAGGGUGCGAGCGUUGUCCGGAAUCACUGGGCGUAAAGGGCGCGUAGGUGGCGGCCCAAGUCCAUGGUGAAAGCUCGAUGCUCAACAUCGAGUCGGCCACGGAUACUGGGUUGCUCGAGCACUGUAGGGGCAGAUGGAAUUCCGGGUGUAGCGGUGGAAUGCGUAGAGAUCCGGAAGAACACCGGUGGCGAAGGCGGUCUGCUGGGCAGUUGCUGACACUGAGGCGCGACAGCGUGGGAG
rnacentral:rRNA from 1 species